UGGCUCAGGAUGAACGCUAGCGACAGGCUUAACACAUGCAAGUCGAGGGGCAGCGGGGGUGAUGGCUUGCCAUCACCUGCCGGCGACCGGCGCACGGGUGAGUAACACGUAUGCAACCUGCCCGCCACAGGGGGAUAAGCGGAAGAAAUUCCGUCUAAUACCGCGUGACGCGGCGCCGGGGCAUCCCGGUGCCGCCAAAGGGAUUACCGGUGGCGGAUGGGCAUGCGGCGCAUUAGCUAGUCGGCGGGGUAACGGCCCACCGAGGCGACGAUGCGUAGGGGUUCUGAGAGGAAGGUCCCCCACACUGGUACUGAGACACGGACCAGACUCCUACGGGAGGCAGCAGUGAGGAAUAUUGGUCAAUGGGCGCGAGCCUGAACCAGCCAAGUCGCGUGAGGGAUGACGGUCCUACGGAUUGUAAACCUCUUUUGCCGGGGAGCAAGCGUGCGUUCGUGAACGCGCGUCGAGAGUACCCGGAGAAAAAGCAUCGGCUAACUCCGUGCCAGCAGCCGCGGUAAUACGGAGGAUGCGAGCGUUAUCCGGAUUUAUUGGGUUUAAAGGGUGCGUAGGCGGGAUGCCAAGUCAGCGGUAAAAAUGCGGUGCUCAACGCCGUCGAGCCGUUGAAACUGGCGUUCUUGAGUGGGCGAGAAGUAUGCGGAAUGCGUGGUGUAGCGGUGAAAUGCAUAGAUAUCACGCAGAACUCCGAUUGCGAAGGCAGCAUACCGGCGCCCUACUGACGCUGAGGCACGAAAGCGUGGGUAUCGGACAGGAUUAGAUACCCUGGUAGUCCACGCAGUAAACGAUGAAUGCUAACUGUCCGGCUCGAAUGAGCGCUGGGCGGUACAGCGAAAGCGUUAAGCAUUCCACCUGGGGAGUACGCCGGCAACGGUGAAACUCAAAGGAAUUGACGGGGGCCCGCACAAGCGGAGGAACAUGUGGUUUAAUUCGAUGAUACGCGAGGAACCUUACCCGGGCUCAAACGCAGGAUGACGGGUCCCGAAAGGGGUCUUUCUUCGGACAUUCUGCGAGGUGCUGCAUGGUUGUCGUCAGCUCGUGCCGUGAGGUGUCGGCUUAAGUGCCAUAACGAGCGCAACCCCUGUCCACAGUUGCCAGCAGGUAAAGCUGGGGACUCUGUGGAGACUGCCGGCGCAAGCUGCGAGGAAGGCGGGGAUGACGUCAAAUCAGCACGGCCCUUACGUCCGGGGCGACACACGUGUUACAAUGGCAGGUACAGCGGGAUGCCACGGGGCGACCCGGCGCUGAACCCGAAAACCUGUCUCAGUUCGGAUUGGAGUCUGCAACCCGACUCCAUGAAGCUGGAUUCGCUAGUAAUCGCGCAUCAGCCACGGCGCGGUGAAUACGUUCCCGGGCCUUGUACACACCGCCCGUCAAGCCAUGGAAGCCGGGGGUACCUGAAGUGCGUGACCGCGAGGAGCGCCCUAGGGUAAAACCGGUGACUGGGGCUAAGUCGUAACAAGGU
rnacentral:rRNA from 1 species